rnacentral:rRNA from 1 species
AGAGUUUGAUCAUGGCUCAGAACGAACGCUGGCGGCAGGCCUAACACAUGCAAGUCGAGCGCCCGCAAGGGAGCGGCAGACGGGCGAGUAACGCGUGGGAACGUGCCCUUUGGUUCGGAAUAUUCCCGGGAAAUUGGGAGCAAAACCGGAUAAGCCCUUCGGGGGAAAGUUUACGCCAAAGGAUCGGCCCGCGUUAGAUUAGGUAGUUGGUGGGGUAACGGCCUACCAAGCCUACGAUCUAUAGCUGAUCUGAGAGGAUGAUCAGCCACACUGGGACUGAGACACGGCCCAGACUCCUACGGGAGGCAGCAGUGGGGAAUCUUGGACAAUGGGCGCAAGCCUGAUCCAGCCAUGCCGCGUGGAUGACUGAAGGCCCUAGGGUUGUAAAGUCCUUUCGACGGGGACGAUAAUGACGGUACCCGUAGAAGAAGCCCCGGCUAACUUCGUGCCAGCAGCCGCGGUAAUACGAAGGGGGCUAGCGUUGUUCGGAUUUACUGGGCGUAAAGGGCGCGUAGGCGGAUUUUUAAGUCGGGGGUGAAAUCCCGGAGCUCAACUCCGGAACUGCCUUCGAUACUGGAAGUCUGGAGCACGGUAGAGGUGAGUGGAAUUCCGAGUGUAGAGGUGAAAUUCGUAGAUAUUCGGAGGAACACCAGUGGCGAAGGCGGCUCACUGGACCGUUGCUGACGCUGAGGCGCGAAAGCGUGGGGAGCAAACAGGAUUAGAUACCCCGGUAGUCC